rnacentral:tRNA from 1 species
AGCUAUGAUAAGUAAACAAAUUUAAUAAUUAAUAUUACAUAUUUGAAAAAAUAAAAUAAAAAUU